UGCGUAGGUGGUGAGGUAAGUCGGAUGUGAAAGCUCCGAGCUCAACUCGGAAAUGGCAUUGGAAACUACCUUGCUAGAGGGUUUGAGGGGGGACUGGAAUACUUGGUGUAGCAGUGAAAUGCGUAGAUAUCAAGUAGAACACCAGUGGCGAAGGCGAGUCCCUGGAAAACUCCUGACACUGAGGCACGAAAGCUGGGAGCAAACA
rnacentral:rRNA from 1 species